ACGCUAGCGGCAGGCCUAAUACAUGCAAGUCGAGGGGUAGAGUUAGCUUGCUAGCUUGAGACCGGCGCACGGGUGCGUAACGCGUAUGCGACCUACCUUAAUCAGGGGGAUAGCCCGAAGAAAUUCGGAUUAACACCGCAUAAAAUCACAGAAUAGCAUUAUUCAAUGAUCAAAUAUUUAUAGGAUUAAGAUGGGCAUGCGUGUCAUUAGCUAGUUGGCGGGGUAACGGCCCACCAAGGCGACGAUGACUAGGGGAUCUGAGAGGAUGACCCCCCACACUGGUACUGAGACACGGACCAGACUCCUACGGGAGGCAGCAGUAAGGAAUAUUGGUCAAUGGAGGCAACUCUGAACCAGCCAUGCCGCGUGCAGGAAGACUGCCCUAUGGGUUGUAAACUGCUUUUAUCUGGGAAUAAACCUAUUUACGUGUAAAUAGCUGAAUGUACCAGAAGAAUAAGGAUCGGCUAACUCCGUGCCAGCAGCCGCGGUAAUACGGAGGAUCCAAGCGUUAUCCGGAUUUAUUGGGUUUAAAGGGUGCGUAGGCGGCCUGUUAAGUCAGAGGUGAAAGACGGUAGCUCAACUAUCGCAGUGCCUUUGAUACUGAUGGGCUUGAAUGGACUAGAGGUAGGCGGAAUGAGACAAGUAGCGGUGAAAUGCAUAGAUAUGUCUCAGAACACCGAUUGCGAAGGCAGCUUACUAUGGUUUUAUUGACGCUGAGGCACGAAAGCGUGGGGAUCAAAC
rnacentral:rRNA from 1 species